rnacentral:snRNA from 1 species
UGUCCGGUGCGCCCCCGGCGGC